rnacentral:rRNA from 1 species
CCUUAGUAGCGGCGAGCGAACCGGGAUGAGCUCAGAUUUGUAAUCUGGCGUCUUUGAGGCGUCCGAGUUGUAAUCUUCAGAGGCGUCUUCCGCGCCGGACCGUGUCCAAGUCCCCUGAAACGGGGCAUCAAGGAGGGUGAUAAUCCCGUGCUUGACACGACGACCGGGGCUCUGUGAUGCGUCCUCAACGAGUCGAGUUGUUUGGGAAUGCAGCUCUAAACGGGUGGUAAAUUCCAUCUAAGGCUAAAUAUUGGCGAGAGACCGAUAGCGAACAAGUACCGUGAGGGAAAGAUGAAAAGAACUUUGAAAAGAGAGUUAAACAGUAUGUGAAAUUGUUGAAAGGGAAACGAUUGAAGUCAGUCGCGUCUCCAGGGGCUCAGCCGGUUCUGCCGGUGUACUCCCUUGUUGACGGGUCAACAUCAAUUCUGGCCGGUGGAAAAGUUCUGGAGGAAUGUGGCACCACUCGUGGUGUGUUAUAGCCUCCGGUCUCACACAUUGGUCGGGAUUGAGGACCGCAGCUCGCCCUCAUCGGGUCGGGGAUUCGUCCCACGCACGAGCUUAGGAUGUUGGCUAAAUGGCUUUAACGACC